UUGACCUCGGAUCAGGUAGGAAUACCCGCUGAACUUAAGCAUAUCAAUAAGCGGAGGAAAAGAAACCAACAGGGAUUGCCUCAGUAACGGCGAGUGAAGCGGCAACAGCUCAAAUUUGAAAUCUGGCCCUGGGCCCGAGUUGUAAUUUGCAGAGGAUGCUUCGGGCGCGGUGCCUUCCAAGUCCCCUGGAACGGGGCGCCAUAGAGGGUGAGAGCCCCGUCGGGUCGGCCGCCAAGCCUGUGUGAAGCUCCUUCGACGAGUCGAGUAGUUUGGGAAUGCUGCUCUAAAUGGGAGGUAGACCCCUUCUAAAGCUAAAUACCGGCCAGAGACCGAUAGCGCACAAGUAGAGUGAUCGAAAGAUGAAAAGCACUUUGAAAAGAGGGUUAAACAGUACGUGAAAUUGUUGAAAGGGAAGCGCUUGUGACCAGACAUGCGCCGGGCGCUCAGCGGGCGUUCUCGCCCGUGCAUUCGCCCCGGCGCAGGCCAGCGUCGGUUCGGGAGGGGGGACAAAGGCGCCAGGAACGUGGCUCCCUCGGGAGUGUUAUAGCCUGGCGCGUCAUGCCCCCGCCCGGACCGAGGUUCGCGCUCCGCAAGGACGCUGGCGUAAUGGUCCCCAGCGGCCCGUCUUGAAACACGGACCAAGGAGUCGAGGUUUUGCGCGAGUGUUUGGGUGUCAAACCCGCACGCGUAAUGAAAGUGAACGCAGGUGGGAGCUUCGGCGCACCACCGACCGAUCCUGAUGUUCUCGGAUGGAUUUGAGUAGGAGCGUAGGGCCUCGGACCCGAAAGAUGGUGAACUAUACUUGGAUAGGGUGAAGCCAGAGGAAACUCUGGUGGAGGCUCGCAGCGGUUCUGACGUGCAAAUCGAUCGUCAAAUCUGAGUAUGGGGGCGAAAGACUAAUCGAACCAUCUAGUAGCUGGUUACCGCCG
rnacentral:rRNA from 1 species